UACGUAGGUGGCAAGCGUUGUCCGGAUUUACUGGGUGUAAAGGGCGUGCAGCCGGAGAGACAAGUCAGAUGUGAAAUCCACGGGCUCAACCCGUGAACUGCAUUUGAAACUGUUUCCCUUGAGUGUCGGAGAGGUAAUCGGAAUUCCUUGUGUAGCGGUGAAAUGCGUAGAUAUAAGGAAGAACACCAGUGGCGAAAGCGGCUCUCUGGUCUGUAACUGACGCUGAGGUUCGAAAGCGUGGGUAGCAAACAGG
rnacentral:rRNA from 1 species